rnacentral:rRNA from 1 species
UACGGGGGGGGCAAGCGUUGUUCGGAAUUACUGGGCGUAAAGGCUCGUAGGCGGCCAACUAAGUCAGACGUGAAAUCCCUCAGCUUAACUGGGGAACUGCGUCCGGAUACCUGGAUGGCUUGGAUUUGGGAGAGGGAUGCGGAAUUCCAGGUGUAGCGGUGAAAUGCGUAGAUAUCUGGAAGGAACACCGGUGGCGAAGGCGGCAUCCUGGACCGACAUCUGACGCUGACGGCGCGAAAGCUAGG